CUUCAGAAGAUGCGCAAUUAAUUAUUAUUGAUAUAACAAAAUGAUAUAUUUUUGUUCUUGUAAAUAUGAAUACAUCUUUAUUUAUACAGUCAGUAAUAAUCGAGAACAAUCAGUCAUUACUAAUAAUAAAUAUUAUUAUGCAAAAUCGAACCUGAAUAAACACAUAUGUGUAAGCAAGGAGCGACUAUAAAACGCCUAGUUUAAGAAAUAAUUUUUAUAACACAAUUUUGUCACGAGUACAAUCGCUUGUAAUUAAGACCGUAAAUUUUGUAAGAAAUGGCAGACAUUUAUGUGGUAGCCGUGUGCAUUGCGGUUAUGGUGGCGAUAGCUCCUUACAUAAAUAUGGAUAUUUCAAUUGACUAAGAAGAAAACGAUGGUGUUGUCUAAAUUGUUUUUUAAUAUUUUUUAUUACUAAUUGUCAAUUUAUGAAUUACGAAAUUACAAAUUAGAUACAUAUAAUCUAAUAGUCUUUCAUUAUAAUUUUGCAAUAAUUUAAUUAAUACAUAAUGAUUAGGUACAGCUUAUACACAUUGAGCGACUUUAAACUUGUGGACCAGUCCCUUCGUCAGUGUCCACGUCUUGGCUCCGUAUGUUAACACGUGCAGGACGCAUUGCUCGAAGACUU
rnacentral:misc_RNA from 1 species